GAUGAACGCUGGCGGCGUGCCUAAUACAUGCAAGUCGAGCGAACGGACGAGAAGCUUGCUUCUCUGAUGUUAGCGGCGGACGGGUGAGUAACACGUGGAUAACCUACCUAUAAGACUGGGAUAACUUCGGGAAACCGGAGCUAAUACCGAAUGAUAUUUAGAACCGCAUGGUUCAAAAGUGAAAGACGGUCUUUCGUUCACUAAUAGAUGGAUCCGCACUGCAUUAGCUAGUUGGUAAGGUAACGGCUUACCAAGGCAACGAUGCAUAGCCGACCUGAGAGGGUGAUCGGCCACACUGGAACUGAGACACGGUCCAGACUCCUACGGGAGGCAGCAGUAGGGAAUCUUCCGCAAUGGGCGAAAGCCUGACGGAGCAACGCCGCGUGAGUGAUGAAGGUCUUCGGAUCGUAAAACUCUGUUAUUAGGGAAGAACAUAUGUGUAAGUAACUGUGCACAUCUUGACGGUACCUAAUCAGAAAGCCACGGCUAACUACGUG
rnacentral:rRNA from 1 species